rnacentral:rRNA from 1 species
AAACUCCUACGGGAGGCAGCAGUAGGGAAUCUUCCACAAUGGACGAAAGUCUGAUGGAGCAACGCCGCGUGAGUGAUGAAGGUUUUCGGAUCGUAAAACUCUGUUGUAAGGGAAGAACAAGUACGUUAGGAAAUGAACGUACCUUGACGGUACCUUAUUAGAAAGCCACGGCUAACUACGUGCCAGCAGCCGCGGUAAUACGUAGGUGGCAAGCGUUGUCCGGAUUUAUUGGGCGUAAAGCGCGCGCAGGCGGUUUCUUAAGUCUGAUGUGAAAGCCCACGGCUUAACCGUGGAGGGUCAUUGGAAACUGGGAGACUUGAGUGCAGAAGAGGAAAGUGGAAUUCCAAGUGUAGCGGUGAAAUGCGUAGAGAUUUGGAGGAACACCAGUGGCGAAGGCGACUUUCUGGUCUGCAACUGACGCUGAGGCGCGAAAGCAUGGGAGCAAACAGGAUUAGAUACCCUGGUAGUCCAUGCCGUAAACGAUGAGUGCUAAGUGUUAGGGGGUUUCCGCCCCUUAGUGCUGCAGCUAACGCAUUAAGCACUCCGCCUGGGGAGUACGACCGCAAGGUUGAAACUCAAAGGAAUUGACGGGGGCCCGCACAAGCGGUGGAGCAUGUGGUUUAAUUCGAAGCAACGCGAAGAACCUUACCAGGUCUUGACAUCCCAGUGACCACUCUAGAGAUAGAGUUUUCCCUUCGGGGACAUUGGUGACAGGUGGUGCAUGGUUGUCGUCAGCUCGUGUCGUGAGAUGUUGGGUUAAGUCCCGCAACGAGCGCAACCCUUAAUCUUAGUUGCCAUCAUUUAGUUGGGCACUCUAAGGUGACUGCCGGUGACAAACCGGAGGAAGGUGGGGAUGACGUCAAAUCAUCAUGCCCCUUAUGACCUGGGCUACACACGUGCUACAAUGGACGGUACAAAGAGUCGCUAACUCGCGAGAGCACGCUAAUCUCAUAAAACCGUUCUCAGUUCGGAUUGUAGGCUGCAACUCGCCUACAUGAAGCCGGAAUCGCUAGUAAUCGCGGAUCAGCAUGCCGCGGUGAAUACGUUCCCGGGCCUUGUACACACCGCCCGU